CGAUGUGGUAGUUUUCUUGUUGGCCAAUUUGUUAAGUAUCAAAGAGGCCUGACUCUGCCACAUAGACUACACAGGAGCGAGCAGUCUGGGGGUGGUCAGGCCUCAUCUGAACCUCUCCCCCCUUCAAAGAUUACUUUAGCUCCCACAUGC